rnacentral:lncRNA from 1 species
CUAUAGGAUUUAAAUGCCCAUGGAUGUGGCUCACGGUAUUACCAGAGUCCCAUUUCCUCUCUUGUGUUUUCCGUGUACACUUCGAAUCCUCAAGAAAGAAAACCCCCGUUGCAUUGUACACUCCAGAGUCUAUAAGGCAGGAUGAAUAAAAAAGAAAAAAAGAUCUUCCCAAAGUAACUUUUAGAAUACUUUCUCAUUUUUAAACCUAAAAGUCCGUUUUGACCUUGUCUAUUUUUCAUAAUCUGUAUAUUUGAUAAGAGACAGAGGAUAUAUUGCAUAUCUGCCAAUAGGGUGAAAAAGGAACAAACUGAAUUUUGCUUUGAGGAAUUUAUUUUCCAGAGAACAAAACAGAGAGAAGAGAAAAAGAACCUUUGUUUAAUGUUAUGGGGUCACCUAUUGAGAUACAGCAUCUAAACAUAGUUUAUGUUGGAAUUCUGCCCCCUCAUGAGUAUUCUUCAUUUAGGAGAAGUGCAUUUAUUCCAACACAUUACAAAAGAGCCCGAAUGGGUAUUCAAAUAACUGCUGUAAAUCAAAAGAUUCUCUUUUUAAGGAAACAAUCAUAGAUUUUUAUAGUUUUUGUGCUUUGCUAUGGACUUUCUAAAAUGAUAGAAAGAUUCUCAUUUGUGCCCCCCCCAACCCCACUAUUGAAUUGUUCUGGUUUUGUACAAAAAAGAAAAAAAAAAAAAAAAAAAAAAAACAGAAAAUGGGCUGACAGCUUUAGAAAAUUUAAACAAUUCCCCUUGCCAAGAUACGUAUUUCGUGAGUUUUCUUUAAUUUCAGAUUUGGUGCAUAUGUGUCAUGCUAACAAUGAAUGCUUUCAAUUUCAGAGUUCAGUUUCUUCUCUCCCUGCUUAAACCAAUCUUCACCUUUUAAUAGGCAAUUAUUUUCCUAAUCACUUCUUAAAAACUUUUUUCAGAACUGUGAGGCACUAAGCUCCAAGUUAUACAUUAUGGUUGCUUUUAAAACAAACUGAGUUCACUGUAAACUGCAAAAUGCACCGGAUUGGUAAAAGUACCAUAGAACAAGGAAAAGAAGCAAGGAGGCUAUACCUCAAAGUAUUAGAAAACUUCCAUAACUUACAAAUUCAUACAGAUCACAGGUGAAUUGGAUGAGAAGAAUUCUUUUAAAAAUGAGCAAAGUAGUAUUGACUGUGAUUGUUUUAAUAGGAUAUACAGAGUUGUAAUAUUUUCUCCCAUCGGCAUUAAACCUCACUUCACAAAAUAGAAUAUUCUCUCAUUUUCUCUUUUUAUAACCUGUCAACCACAUGGAACACAAUCUUCUAAAUUUAAAAGCAAAGCAUAAAACUAAGCUCUUAUAAUCACAACUAUUCAUAUAUAUUUUCAUUUGAAAUAUAAGUGCUUCAAAAACCAUUUUCUUGUGGCAAAAAAAAAAACUAGUUAGAAAACAAACAAAAAAUGCUAUAUUUUAUGAUAUCUCUAUCAGGCAUGAAAAGAAAGACAAUGGAUCCAGUCCUGUGAUACCUUACCAAAACACUUUAGCAGUGCUAAUUUCAAUGUUGCAGACACAAACAGAAUAAUAAAAAUGCAUGUGGCUCAGGAGUUGGAAUUACAACUGUGAUAUUUUAAGGAUGAUUCCACUGGAUUCAAUUCAAAUCCGAAAGAUCAAUUGAUGUUUCAUGAACCCAACAAAUCUAUAAUAAAGCUUCCUUCUAUUUCAAUAUUUUAAAAUUAAUUUACAACUAGCUG